GCCGGUGUAGCUCAGUUGGUAGAGCAGCGCAUUCGUAAUGCGAAGKUCGKSAGUUCGAGUCUUCUCUCCGGCACCA
rnacentral:tRNA from 1 species